rnacentral:rRNA from 1 species
UGGGGAAUUUUGGACAAUGGGCGAAAGCCUGAUCCAGCAAUGCCGCGUGUGUGAAGAAGGCCUUCGGGUUGUAAAGCACUUUUGUCCGGAAAGAAAUCCUUGGCUCUAAUACAGUCGGGGGAUGACGGUACCGGAAGAAUAAGCACCGGCUAACUACGUGCCAGCAGCCGCGGUAAUACGUAGGGUGCAAGCGUUAAUCGGAAUUACUGGGCGUAAAGCGUGCGCAGGCGGUUUGCUAAGACCGAUGUGAAAUCCCCGGGCUCAACCUGGGAACUGCAUUGGUGACUGGCAGGCUAGAGUAUGGCAGAGGGGGGUAGAAUUCCACGUGUAGCAGUGAAAUGCGUAGAGAUGUGGAGGAAUACCGAUGGCGAAGGCAGCCCCCUGGGCCAAUACUGACGCUCAUGCACGAAAGCGUGGGGAGCAAACAGGAUUAGAUACCCUGGUAGUCCACGCCCUAAACGAUGUCAACUAGUUGUUGGGGAUUCAUUUCCUUAGUAACGUAGCUAACGAGUGAAGUUGACCGCCUGGGGAGUACGGUCGCAAGAUUAAAACUCAAAUGAAUUGACGGGGUCAUAGCUGUUUCCU